rfam:Vigna angularis cultivar Jingnong 6 chromosome 7, whole genome shotgun sequence.
CUAACAGAGUUUAUUGGCAUUCUGUCCACCUCCACUUUCUUCUCUUCUCCACGUCCAGUAUCCAUCCAUGACGUUGGAGGUGGGCAUACUGCCAACUCAGUUCUGUUUG